UUUUACUCUAACUAGGAAACUUCGAACUUUUGUGGUUAAUGCUUUGACUCAUCGCCUGAACAAUGUGAAGUACCACUCUCUUUAUGAAAUUUGCAUUACCACCUUGAUUGGAGCAGAGCAGGGCCCAAAAAUUUGCGCUAAAAUUCUAACACCAACGAAAACUCUCCCUGCUCCCACCAACCUGGAGCUCACAGACAGCACCAGCUCCUCCCUGAUAAUGGCAUGGGAACCUCCUGAGGGCGUUGAAGUGGUCAGCUACAAACUGACGGUGGCUGAGGCUCAGUCGUCGGAAGUAAUUGAAAGGAACGAGGAUAAGCUUGAAGAAACCGAGGCUCAACUCUCUAAUCCUGCUUGCCUCGCACCACGUACACGCUGCCUGCCAAGCUUCAUAGUUAAACAAUUAAUAACCUCAGAUCUGGAUAUGAGUACCGCAUUGGAGUAAAGACAAUUGAUGCAUCCGGGUCAGAAGGAAAUGAAACAAGAAUAUCUGUCUCAACGGACCAAGUGGAUGGUGAAAAAUUUGGAAAAGAAGGGAAAUCCACAGCGUCAUCUCAACCAGAAUCCAUAACAGAAGCAGACGGCAGCCAAGCCGGGAGGGAAGAAGUCGUAUCGGACAAAACGA